rnacentral:lncRNA from 1 species
AUCUAAGAAGAGAAAAGAGAAAGAAGAAGAGAAGAAGAACUUCAUGGUGAUCUGGCUCAGAUCCCAUUGGAUCGCGUGAAAGAGUUCGCACAGUGAUCUUCUUCUUCAAAAUCUAGAAGAAGAGAUCUAGAUCUAAGGAUGAGGAGCAAGAUCUGCAAGGUGCUAGCACACCAAUAAUCUCGGUGCUCCAAUCAGAUAUCUCAUGUGGAUGCUAGC